UGGACGAGCUUUUCGUAGAAGACAUUGUAUAAGACGACGAGUAUAUAACAUUACAAUCCCAAAUGUUUUGUGGCACAUUGAUGGGAAUCACAAACUGAUUGCAUGGAGAUUCGUUCAUGACGGCUGCAUUGAUGGCUUUAGUAGGGCUAUCGUGUACCUAAUUUGUUCGUCAAACAAUAAAGCAUCGACUGUACUCAGCCUUUUUCAAAAUGGUGUGGAACGAUUUGGUCUACCGUCGAGAGUUCGCGGCGACCGCGGUGUGGAAAAUAUUGAUGUUGCGAGGCAUAUGAUUGCAAAUAGAGGCCUCAAUAGGGGAAGCUUUAUAUGUGGACGUAGUGUCCACAAUCAAAGAAUAGAAAGAUUAUGGAGUGAAGUUAACAGGAUCGUGAAUUCUGUUUUCAAAAAUCUAUUUACAUUUAUGCAAAA